CUACGGGUUGCACCAGUGGGGAAUAUUGCACAAUGGGCGAAAGCCUGAUGCAGCAACGCCGCGUGGAGGAUGACACAUUUCGGUGCGUAAACUCCUUUUAUAUAGGAAGAUAAUGACGGUACUAUAUGAAUAAGCGCCGGCUAACUCCGUGCCAGCAGCCGCGGUAAUACGGAGGGCGCAAGCGUUACUCGGAAUCACUGGGCGUAAAGAGCGUGUAGGCGGAUAGAUAAGUUGGGAGUGAAAUCCUAUGGCUCAACCAUAGAACUGCUUCCAAAACUGUCUAUCUAGAGUAUGGGAGAGGUAGAUGGAAUUUCUGGUGUAGGGGUAAAAUCCGUAGAGAUCAGAAGGAAUACCGAUUGCGAAGGCGAUCUACUGGAACAUUACUGACGCUGAGACGCGAAAGCGUGGGGAGCAAACAGGAUUAGAUACCCUUGUAGUC
rnacentral:rRNA from 1 species